AAUGGGGGAAACCCUGACGCAGCAACGCCGCGUGGGUGAUGAAGGCCUUCGGGUCGUAAAGCCCUGUCGGGAGGGAAGAAAUGAUUGAGGGUUAAUACCUCUUGAUCUUGACGGUACCUCCGAAGGAAGCACCGGCUAACUCCGUGCCAGCAGCCGCGGUAAUACGGAGGGGGCAAGCGGUGUUCGGAAUUAUUGGGCGUAAAGCGCGUGUAGGCGGUCUUUUAAGUCUGAUGUGAACGCCCCGGGCUCAACCUGGGAAGUGCAUUGGAAACUGGGGGACUUGAGUACGGGAGAGGAGAGUGGAAUUCCCAGUUUAGGAGUGAGAUCCGUAGAUAUUGGGAGGAACACCGGUGGCGAAGGCGGCUGCCUGGACCGAUACUGACGCUGAGACGCGAAAGCGUGGGGAGCAAA
rnacentral:rRNA from 1 species